GCGGGAUUAGUUUAGUGGCAAAAUAGGAGUUUUCCAAACUCUUGUCGCCGGUUCGAUUCCGGCAUCCCGCA
rfam:Candidatus Lloydbacteria bacterium RIFCSPHIGHO2_01_FTLL_49_22 rifcsphigho2_01_scaffold_207, whole genome shotgun sequence.